GGCUUGGGUUUUGCCAGCUGGCGUGAUCUCCUCUAUGAGUAAUCAUGUGAGGUGCCAGAUCUAUGGCGUUUCCCUAAUGUAUCCGGAUGCACCCUUGUCUUGGCAGAAAGCCGUGGUGAGGUGCAGUGGCGGAAUCGUGGUUUAAUAAUCGGGUUGGUACUCAGUUGUCAGUGUGUUUGGCGAUCCCCUAGUCGGCACACUUAUGAUUUCUGGGAUAAUUCCAUACCAGGCACGUUCCGUCACUGUCACUUUGUCAUUGGUUUGAUGCUGAACUUGGUCAUGUGUCUGAUGCUAUUUUCAUAUAGCGACGGUACCCUUCGUGGUCUGUCUUCCUGACCUCGGUUCAGACGUGAUUACCCGCUGAACUUAAGCAUAUC
rnacentral:rRNA from 1 species